CGGAAAGGGCGCGGGUCCCCUCCAGCCUCCGCCUGGCCCGCCGUCGCCCCGGUCCCCGAGCGGUUCCCCUCGGGCCCUCGCCGGCGGAGUUCCGCUGCGGGACGGAGGUUCCCCCGCCGCGGCCGGGCGGUUUAAGGGCAGCCCGGACCCGAAUUCCACCUCACGGUGCGGCGGGCGGCAGCGGGCCGUGCCGGCUAACGCCGGGCGGGUCGCCUCGGCGCUCGUCCCUGCGAGGGAGAUGGGAGUAGCUGGCCGCCCUUAGUCAGGUAUUCCCAGGUGCGCUGGUGCCUGUGUGCCAUCGGUGUCGGCAGGACUGCUACCGUGUGGGAACAGAGAUUAUUUUUUUCUCUCUCUCCGUCUAAAAGGAGUGUUUCCUACCCCACCACCACCCCCCACCCCCAAAAGUUUCUCCAUCUGUAGUGAUGAGAUGAAAGCUGAGUUGGCUCUCUGGAAAACCGGGUAAGGAUAACUGCCUUCUGUGAAAACUGGCCAAUGGCAAUUGUAGACCCUUUUCGUUCCUGUAAUGCGUUCUUCCAGCCAAGUUCUGCAGUCAGAGGAACUCUGGAUAACUUCAUACUCCUUCCUGCUGCAUGUUUGCAAGAGUGGGAACUGAUCAGAACUUAUAACCCUGUAAUGUUUUACAGCUCUGCUGGAUUUUACAGUAUUUCAUUUCUUGAAUCACCUGUGAAGAACUCCAAAUGACAAAGCUCCCAGAAACCUCAAAAUAAAGAAACUGGCUCUGCUUUUCUAAAACACUUCUAAAAAGCACAUCCUAAAAUUAAUAUAAUUAAGGACUAUAAUAGCCUUCUAGCCAAGUUUUAAGAAGGCUACACAAUGCAUCUCAGUGAAUGGAAGUAUGAACUUGGAUCCUAGAGAAAGAAAUGCUUCAUGUUCAUAUACUGAGGAUAAGAUUCAUCUUGUCUGUUUAGUGUAGAUGUCUGCAUGUGAUCCAGUCAUAGAAACAUAGUUGAUGAAGAGAAAUUGAUGCUAGGGUCAACUCAUUUUACUUGUGUUAAUUGUCCACCUAAGAAUGUCUACCUUACCUUCAGCUCAGCGAAGGGGCAGGCUGACUAACAUUCAGCACGCCCAAAAAAAUGUGCAGGUUAGUUAUUAGUGCUGGAUAAUAUAAUACUGACACAGUCUCACAUGCAUUCCUAAAAUCAUGUCUCACACUAUUUGUGAAUUUUAUGUUCCUCUGAUAUAAGCAGAUUUGUUUGCUGAUUAUUGUAUGCAAUACUGAAAAUUAACAUACUAUAAAAACACCUUUUAUCUGAAAAAUUAUGAUGGGACAGGACGCAGUGCAGGAAUAUGGGAAGAAGAAGCACUAGCACUUUUGCCAUGUGGCAGGUUUUAUAAGUGUGUUGCUUAAUACAAGGUUCAGAUCUGACAUUUGAAUGUUAAAGCCCCAUAUUUAAAAAGAAGCCCAAGCUGGCCUUUAAAUUAAAGGUGCGGCAUCUUUAGUAAGCAUAAAUAGUAUAGAUGCCUCUCCAGUCAGUUGUCCAAUGUACCACAAAUGCAAAGUGACAAAGUGAGCAAACAGAAGUUUCUCACUCUACUGAGAAGGAAGCAAUACUAGAAUAACUAUGUGUAGCUUUGACCAUUCAUCUUCAAGGAAAGCUUUGCUUACUCAUUGCUGCCACUGAACUUGAUAUUGUUUGUAGCAAGACUGGAUAUUGAGGGGUACUACUGGACAGUUUCAGAAGUUUACUUCCAACUGAUGUUUUCCUUUCAAAUCUCAUAUUCAUGAUAUUAACCUAGCGUUCGUUCUGGAAGGUGAGCAUUUUUCACUGGAAAACCACUGGUCAGAGGUAAUUUGCAUUGGAGAAUAGCUUUGAAUGUAAACACCACAGGAAGGGAUGUUCUUACCAACUAAGAAUUCUGCACUCAAAGAGAGCUUUAAUGGAAAUAGCUGUUUUUAUUGUUUUAACUCACGUUAGCAUUUGGCUGGAUUUUGUGUCAGUUGCCUAGUGUGUAUUGAUAGAGUGGGCUUCUCCCACUUUUCCAAAUCACCGAGAAAACUAUCUGCUUAAAGAGUAAUUCUAUGGCUGUGCAUAUUCAGUCAUCUGAUGGUUUUGAACAAGAGUAGUCAGUUAUGUUGCAGUGUGUGUUAGUUUUGUAAGUGUCGUGUGAAGGCUGACAGAGAUCACAUUUCUGUGUUUUGCUGCUCGGUCCAGACCAUAGCCUCUGGAGGUAAUGGAUCUCUGCAGAACCUCACUGGAGCAGAUCACUAAACAGUACAGGAUUUCAAGAGCUGAUGCAUUUUUAUUGCUACAAUAUUCUUGUCAUGAAGGUGAUGGGUUUUGUAUUGUGGUUUCAUAUAUCAGUGUGGUUUAAUGUCUAAAAGCUGAGCCCUGUUGGUAAGCUGGAUACCUUUUUUUUUAAAAAAAAGAGGCUUUUCUUUUGUUCUUA